rnacentral:tRNA from 4 species
CGCGGGGUGGAGCAGUCUGGUAGCUCGUCGGGCUCAUAACCCGAAGGUCGCAGGUUCAAAUCCUGUCCCCGCUACCA